UCGAACGCGAACAGGGCUUCGGCCCUUAGUAGAGUGGCGUCCGGGUGAGUAACACGUAGGUAAUCUACCUUCGGGUGGGGAAUAACGCCUCGAAAGAGGCGCUAAUACCGCAUAAUGCAGCGGCAGCUAAUGCUGAAUAGUUGUUAAAGCGGGGGACCAAGCAAUUGGCCUCGUGCCUGAAGAGGAGCCUGCGGCAGAUUAGCUAGUUGGUGAGGUAACGGCUCACCAAGGCUGCGAUCUGUAGCUGGUCUGAGAGGACGGCCAGCCACACUGGCACUGACACACGGGCCAGACUCCUACGGGAGGCAGCAGUGGGGAAUUUUGGGCAAUGGGCGAAAGCCUGACCCAGCAACGCCGCGUGAGGGAGGAAAUCCUUCGGGAUGUAAACCUCACAAGCAAGGGAAGAGCGCAUGAAGGAGAACACGCUUCAUGCUCGACGGUACCUUGCGUAAGCCACGGCUAACUACGUGCCAGCAGCCGCGGUAAUACGUAGGUGGCAAGCGUUGUUCGGAAUUAUUGGGCGUAAAGGGCGCGUAGGCGGCCUUGUAAGUCAGUUGUGAAAGCCCGGGGCUCACCCCGGAGGGUCGACUGAUACUGCGAGGCUAGAGUACGGAAGAGGUAGCUGGAAUUCCCGGUGUAGCGGUGAAAUGCGUAGAUAUCGGGAGGAACCCUGAGGCGAAGGCGGGCUACUGGGCCGAUACUGACGCUGAGGCGCGAAAGCCAGGGGAGCGAACGGGAUAGAUACCCCGGUAGUCCUGGCC
rnacentral:rRNA from 1 species